GAAGAAAAUGAUGAGGGCCCAGGAAUCCAAGAUGGACAAGAAAUUUCAGCAGCUCUGCCAAAGAAUUCAAACUCUGGAACAAGAAUUCUACGGGAGGCAGGGGUCCAAACAGCACAUCCUUCAGCUCCUCGGAGCAAACAUGGAGAUAGAACAAGGUGUGCUGAUAGAAAGUGCUUCAGAAGACGAGGCCAUGAUACAGAUGCAUAGACAACUCCUGAGCUGGUGAAGCAUUGAUCAACAAAAUUAAAGUCUGGCACUCAUUACAUUUCUCUUGAGCUUGGCCCCCCACCCCCUGCACUCCCUGGGCUUGCUGUGUUGGGAAGUGCUCGUGCUGCCGGAAGACUGAGAUAAUUGUUAGGGCUUUUCUCCCUCCUGUGAGCUGGUUCCUGCUGUGCCAGGGCAGAUCCAUCCACUGCCUGGUUUCAAACAAGUGAAAGCAACAGCAGCCAAAGUGCAACCCAGAGCAGAGCUGAAUUACCCAGCGAGCUCUACACAAAAUCUCAGGCAGAGUCCUGGGAAUCCUGGAUUUUAAGUGUUUUAACAUUUUGCGUGUGUGAAGAAUCUGGGAUGUACAGCAGUGGGGGAACCAUUUCACCUGGAGAAUGAAGUGUUCAGUUGCAAUCCUGAUUUUUCUGUGACAUGUUUACUACACUCGCAUUACCUGUCUUCUUUCCCGUUUCUGUUUUUAGUUAAUGUGUACAGCACAAGUGUAGAAUUAGCAUGUUCCUCCUGAGGCCGGGGCAACACCUGUCUUCCAAGGGUGCCUGUGCCCUGCGCAGGCAGAGGAGUUCCCUUAGAGUAAGAGAACCACCACUGUGCCCCGCUAGUUGGGCACCAUCUGUCACAGUCGCAGGGGAGAGAAGCCGCGACAGCCGGGGGUUCGUGCAGAGUGGUAGCUCGAAGCUAUUGCAGCCUUAUUAGGGUGUGCCACCCCUAUUCAUAGGGCGGCAGGAGAAGGUUCCAGAAACCAGGGAGGAGCAUAGGACAGGCAGGGACAUGGACCAGUCAGAAGGGAAAGGAGGGAAUAAGGGAGAAAUAGGAGCCAAUAAGGAAAACAUCUGCAAUGCAGCAGAUUGCAGCCAGUCAGAAAAUAGGUAAUAAACAUGAGGAGAAAACUGU